GUGCUCUGAGUGACUCACGCACUGCUGAGCAUCCUCGUUCCAUGGUGGGUUUACUCUUCCAUUGCCUGCGUUUUUCCUGGGCUGUUGGUUACUGAGAGCAGAGGUGAGGGCUGAGAAACAGAUGGGGCCCAUAGGGCUGGAAGGGUUAAGGAGUGCUGGGUACUUCACGUGCCAGCUGGUGAGGGAUGUAAUUAACGAAUAUUGGCUUCAGGUGUGAGCAUGACUGAUUUAUAGCAGCUUCGCAGGGGGUGGCACAGGUUGUAAUGAGUGGGGUUGCGUUUGCCCUGCUGGCCGAAGCCAUAGGGUGUGUGAGGGAAUGCCUGCAGGACGCAGGCUGGUCGUUGGUGUGUGCUGUUAAGAACCAAAAUACUCUUAAGAGCAGAGGUAAUGGGGGCCAAAUGGUUACAGCAGUGAAUUGCUGACUUAGGAAACAGCACUGACACCCCGUGGUACGGACACGCAGCGGCUGCACCUGAUGGCCUCAAUCAGCCCCUCCAAGUCUGUGCCCUUCCGGCUGUGACUCAGAACAGAAAGCAAAGGGCACCUCUGUGUGAAAAGGUGGAUUUUCAAGAACACGACGGAAACUUUCCCUAAAAGUUUUUGUUCCCUUGGGCAAACAAAAGCCGACAGUGCAGCUUAUGAAGGAGCCCUGGAUCUGCUCUCGGAACGCUCUGUUCCCUGGGAAGGAAGGUGUGUUACGUGGCCCUGUGACUCUCAUCCAUCACAUGACUGCAGUGCAGCAUGGAGAGACCUUUGAGUUUCCAUGGGACAAGGACACACUGCUCUGUAUGGAGAGCACCUUGAACAGCUUCAGCAAGGGCGGUGCUCCGGGGAGUUUGCCUCUCAGCUGUGGGUGCUGUCCUCAGUGAGCAGAACAGCACACCCUGCAGUGAGGCUGCAGCUGUGGUGCUUUCCUACUCCAUGACACAAUUGAAGGAUUGGUGCAUUCUCCUGAACAGUCUUUGGGGAUUCGUUGUAUUGCCCUCAGACUGCCUGCCUGGCUGGAGGGGGGGCUUGAAGACCAGGAACAGCAUUAGGAAUCAGCUGCUGGGGGAUGUUUGGGCUCUCGUUAGUGCUUUGAUGACCUGCAGAUGCUCUCAAUGAGCUGCAUGUUCUGAUGGAUCAGGUCGGCAGCUCGGAGUGCUGGACCCCUGAGCUGAGGGGCAGCCCCCAUCCAGCCUCACCCCGAGGUGUGGGGUUGGUGCCUAUGGGAGGAGGAGAUGCUUUGUAGCUGUUACAGCUGCUGUCCAGUGGCACUCUGUCUGUUAGUCUGAGGUGCUUUCAGUUCAUUUUGAAAGAACUGUGAAUUCUAAAUAUCUGGUGUGAAAAAUAACGACUUCACUCCUGGAAAUGGUUUUGGUUUGUGCAAGCUGGGUGUAAGCAUUGUGAUAAAUGUCUGACAACUAAAAACUCCGUAUCAUUUGCUAACAUAUUGCACUCCAACAGCAGCUGGAGAACUCUGCAAAGGAGGCCUGAGUGGUGUAAAUAAGUCACAUUCAGCAGUUGGUGGCACUAAAUGUGGAUUUAUCAGUUAAAAAGGACAGCAGUGUGCUGGGAAGUGCCCAGUGGCACCGUGGGGCUGUGCUGCUAUGGCCACCCGGUGACUCCAUGCCCAAUGUGUGCAGGUUGGAAGCAAAAAGGCAGCUUUCCUGGCUGCCAGCUUCGGUGGCUCCAUCUGGGAUCUCAAAUCCAUGCUGUGUCUUUCCUGACUCUGCUGCUAAUAAUAAAGGC
ensembl:lncRNA